UACAGAGGUCUCAAGCGUUGUUCGGAUUCAUUGGGCGUAAAGGGUGCGCAGGCGGUCUCGUAAGCUGGGUGUGAAAGCCCCGGGCUUAACCUGGGAAUGGCAUUCAGGACUGCGAGGCUUUGAGUGUGGCAGAGGGAGGUGGAAUUCCACGUGUAGCAGUGAAAUGCGUAGAGAUGUGGAGGAACACCGAUGGCGAAGGCAGCCUCCUGGGCCAGCACUGACGCUCAUGCACGAAAGCGUGGGGAGCAAACAGG
rnacentral:rRNA from 1 species